GGAAGGGAACCCGGGGAACUGAAACAUCUAAGUACCCGGAGGAAAAGAAAGAAAACUCGAUUCCGUAAGUAGCGGCGAGCGAACGCGGAGGAGCCUAAACCGGAAUGCGUGCAUUCCGGGGUUACGGACUGCAUUUAAGAUUCUUUGAAGCUAACAGAACGGUUUUGGGAAAGCCGGCCGGAGAGGGUGAAAGCCCCGUACGUGAAAGCUGAUGAGACUGAGCAGGAUCCAGAGUACCACGAGACACGUGGAACCUUGUGGGAAAUCAGGGGGACCACCCCCUAAGGCUAAAUACUACUUAGUGACCGAUAGCGCAUAGUACUGUGAAGGAAAGGUGAAAAGGACCCCGGGAGGGGAGUGAAAGAGAACCUGAAACCCUGUGUCUACAAGCUGUGGAAGCACUUUAUAUGUGCGACCGCGUACUUUUUGUAGAACGGUCCGGCGAGUUACGCUUACUGGCAAGGUUAAGCACUUCAGGUGUGGAGCCGUAGGGAAACCAAGUCUUAAGAGGGCCAGAGUCAGUAGGAGUAGACCCGAAACCGGGUGAUCUAUCCAUGUCCAGGUUGAAGCUGCCGUAAGAGGUAGUGGAGGACCGAACCCACAUCCGUUGAAAAGGGUGGGGAUGAGGUGUGGAUAGGGGAGAAAUUCCAAUCGAACCCGGAGAUAGCUGGUUCUCCUCGAAAUAGCUUUAGGGCUAGCCUCGAUACAGAUUUGCGGAGGUAGAGCACUGAAUUUCCUAGGGGGCGUCAAAGCCUACCGAAGAAUAUCAAACUCCGAAUGCCGCGUAAUCGAUUAUCGGGAGUCAGACUGCACGAGAUAAGUUGGGCGGUCAAAAGGGAAAGAGCCCAGACCUUCAGUUAAGGUCCCCAAGUGCGCGUUAAGUGGAAAAGGAUGUGGGAUUUCGAAGACAACCAGGAUGUUGGCUCAGAAGCAGCCAUCCAUUCAAAGAGUGCGUAAUAGCUCACUGGUCGAGAGGUCCUGCGCCGAAAAUGUCCGGGGCUGAAACGCGCCACCGAAACUAAGGAACCGAAAGGUUGGUAGAGGAGCAUUGCAUGCGGGAAGAAGCAGUACCGAAAGGAGCUGUGGACUGCAUGGAAGAGAGAAUGCCGGAAUGAGUAGCGAGAAUAAGGUGAGAAUCCUUAUGGCCGAAUAUCCAAGGUUUCCAGAGUAAAGCUGAUCUGCUCUGGGUAAGUCGGGGCCUAAGGCGAGGACGAGAGUCGUAGCCGAUGGACAACAGGUGGAGAUUCCUGUACUGCGGUAUGACAGAACUGUGGGGACACGUAAGGAAAGCGGAAGCCGGGAAUGGAAAGCCCGGUGCAAGCGGGGUACCAGUCACUUUGGCAAAUCCGGGUGGCAAUGGGAAGCCGUGAUGCGGAGCGAAAUAAAGUAGCGAAGUCCGUGAGCCAUGCGUCAAGAAAAGCCGCUAUCGUUUAUACCGUACCCGUACCGUAAACCGACACAGGUGGAUGAGGAGAGAAUCCUAAGGCCGGCGGAAGAAGCAUUGUCAAGGAACUCGGCAAAAUGGCCCCGUAACUUAGGGAUAAGGGGUGCCUGGGAAACCAGGCCGCAGAGAAUAGGCUCAAGCAACUGUUUAGCAAAAACACAGGUCUAUGCGAAACCGAAAGGUGAGGUAUAUGGGCUGACGCCUGCCCGGUGCUGGAAGGUUAAGAGGAGAGGUUAGCGGUAACGCGAAGCUUUGAAUUUAAGCCCCAGUAAACGGCGGCCGUAACUAUAACGGUCCUAAGGUAGCGAAAUUCCUUGUCGGGUAAGUUCCGACC
rnacentral:rRNA from 1 species